rnacentral:tRNA from 1 species
GCCUCCGUAGCUCAGUGGAUAGAGCAACUGUCUUCUAAACAGUGGGUCGGGAGUUCGAUUCUCUCCGGGGGCG